UCUGGAAACGGAUGGUAAUACCUCAUAACAUACAGAGACCGCAUGAUUUCUGUAUCAAAGAUUUGUCACUCUGAGAUGGGCUCGCGUCUGAUUAGCUAGAUGGUGAGGUAACGGCCCACCAUGGCGACGAUCAGUAGCCGGACUGAGAGGUUGAACGGCCACAUUGGGACCGAGACACGGCCCAGACUCCUACGGGAGGCAGCAGUGGGGAAUAUUGCACAAUGGGGGAAACCCUGAUGCAGCGAUGCCGCGUGGAGGAAGAAGGUUUUCGGAUUGUAAACUCCUGUCUUAAAGG
rnacentral:rRNA from 1 species